rnacentral:rRNA from 1 species
GAUGAACGCUGGCGGCGUGCCUAAUACAUGCAAGUAGAACGCUGAAGCUUGGUGCUUGCACCGAGCGGAUGAGUUGCGAACGGGUGAGUAACGCGUAGGUAACCUGCCUGGUAGCGGGGGAUAACUAUUGGAAACGAUAGCUAAUACCGCAUAACAGUAGAUAUUGCAUGAUAUCUGCUUGAAAGGUGCAAUUGCAUCACUACCAGAUGGACCUGCGUUGUAUUAGCUAGUUGGUGAGGUAACGGCUCACCAAGGCGACGAUACAUAGCCGACCUGAGAGGGUGAUCGGCCACACUAGGACUGAGACACGGCCCAGACUCCUACGGGAGGCAGCAGUAGGGAAUCUUCGGCAAUGGACGGAAGUCUGACCGAGCAACGCCGCGUGAGUGAAGAAGGUUUUCGGAUCGUAAAGCUCUGUUGUAAGAGAAGAACGAGUGUGAGAGUGGAAAGUUCACACUGUGACGGUAUCUUACCAGAAAGGGACGGCUAACUACGUGCCAGCAGCCGCGGUAAUACGUAGGUCCCGAGCGUUAUCCGGAUUUAUUGGGCGUAAAGCGAGCGCAGGCGGUUAGAUAAGUCUGAAGUUAAAGGCUGUGGCUUAACCAUAGUACGCUUUGGAAACUGUUUAACUUGAGUGCAAGAGGGGAGAGUGGAAUUCCAUGUGUAGCGGUGAAAUGCGUAGAUAUAUGGAGGAACACCGGUGGCGAAAGCGGCUCUCUGGCUUGUAACUGACGCUGAGGCUCGAAAGCGUGGGGAGCAAACAGG